UACGAAGGGGGCUAGCGUUGCUCGGAAUCACUGGGCGUAAAGCGCACGUAGGCGGCUUUUUAAGUCAGGGGUGAAAUCCUGGAGCUCAACUCCAGAACUGCCUUUGAUACUGGGAAGCUUGAGUCCGGGAGAGGUGAGUGGAACUCCGAGUGUAGAGGUGAAAUUCGUAGAUAUUCGGAAGAACACCAGUGGCGAAGACGGCUCACUGGCCCGGUACUGACGCUGAGGUGCGAAAGCGUGGGGAGCAAACAGG
rnacentral:rRNA from 1 species